rnacentral:lncRNA from 1 species
AUUGUGUAGAGAGGAUUUAAAUUGAUUUUGAAUUUAGCGCUAAUUUUGAUGCAAUUUUGUUUGCAGAAUGAAGCUUAGCGCCAGAGGAGCCUAAGUGGUGCCCUUGUUCCUCUAAGCACCUCUAAGCUUUAUACGGUGAUUUUUCAGGCCUGGUUUAUUAAGCAGCACAAUCUACAGGAGUUGUUUAGAGUGAACCCUUUCAAAUAUGAACACCAUUGUUUCACUGAGACCCUCCUCCUGGACCUGCCCUAAAUCUCCUCUGUGGUACCUAAAAUAAUGGCUUUUUAAGACAGUAUUAUAGCGGUGUAACUUGUGGGGAAAACCACACUGUGGCUUACAAUCUGAAUUAAACGUGUGUCAUUGUGGGUAAGUUUCAUUUAAAAUACCUAUUUCUGCUAAUUAUUCAGAAUGCUAAUGCUGUGCUGCUGUAUGAAUUCUGAUUUGUGUAAGCAUGUUUCUUGCAAGGCUUUGCUAAGAACAUAAGAAAAUCAACUAAAAAUAUUU